rnacentral:misc_RNA from 1 species
GAUGAAGAACGUAGCGAAAUGCGAUAAGUAAUGUGAAUUGCAGAAUUCAGUGAAUCAUCGAAUCUUUGAACGCACAUUGCGCCCGCCAGUAUUCUGGCGGGCAUGCCUGUUCGAGCGUCAUUUCAACCCUCAGGCCCCCAGUGCCUGGUUUUGGGGAUCGGCCCAGCCUUCCUGUAAGGCCGCCGGCCCCGAAAUCUAGUGGCGGUCUCGCUGUAGUCCUCCUCUGCGUAGUAGCACAACCUCGCAGUUGGAACGCGGCGGUGGCCAUGCCGUUAAACACCCCACUUCUGAAAGUUGACCUCGGAUCAGGUAGGAAUACCCGCUGAACUUAAGCAUAUCAAUAAGCGGAGGA